rnacentral:sRNA from 1 species
CUUGGUCAUUUAGAGGAAGUAAAAGUCGUAACAAGGUCUCCGUUGGUGAACCAGCGGAGGGAUCAUUACCGAGUACUAUAACUCAUAACCCUUUGUGAACCUUUAUACCUGUUGCUUCGGCGGCGCGCCUCCCGGGGCGUGCCCGCCGGCAUUAUCAGAAUCUCUGUUCGAACCCGACGAUACAUCUGAGUGUUCUAAGCGAACUGUUAAAACUUUCAACAACGGAUCUCUUGGCUCCAGCAUCGAUGAAGAACGCAGCGAAACGCGAUAUGUAAUGUGAAUUGCAGAAUUCAGUGAAUCAUCGAAUCUUUGAACGCACAUGGCGCCUUCCAGUAUCCUGGGAGGCAUGCCUGUCCGAGCGUCGUUUCAACCCUCGAGCCCCCGUGGCCCGGUGUUGGGGAUCUGCCCAGGCAGUCCCCGAAAACCAGUGGCGGACCCGUUGGGCCCUUCCUUUGCGUAGUAACAUCUGCCUCGCAUCGGGAGCCUGCGGGCUAUCCGGCCUCUAAACCCCCCUCAAGCCCGCUCCGGCGGCACCAAGGUUGACCUCGGAUCAGGUAGGAAUACCCGCUGAACUUAAGCAUAUCAAUAAGCGGAGGAAAAGAAACCAACAGGGAUUGCCUCAGUAACGGCGAGUGAAGCGGCAACAGCUCAAAUUUGAAAUCUGGCUCCUUCGGGGCCCGAGUUGUAAUUUGCAGAGGAUGCUUCGGGUACGGGUUCCUUCCGAGUUCCCUGGAACGGGACGCCAUAGAGGGUGAGAGCCCCGUCUGGUAGGACACCCAGCCCGUGUGAAGCUCCCUCGACGAGUCGAGUUGUUUGGGAAU